rnacentral:misc_RNA from 1 species
AAACAUGUAGGAUCGAGUUAUUUAAGGAAAAUCUGCUAAUAUAAAUCACUUGCAAAUGUGUCUAAUCAAGCCUGAAGGGAAAUGAAGUAACUAGCCAAUCCAUCAGCAAUUGAACACCAAGCAGAUGCUCUACUGGUCUCAUCUCUGUUCUUUACUCAGCAUCACAAUAGCCGAGCUCUGAGAGCUUCAAAUGAGCUUCUGCAUAAUCUUCAAAGAAGGCAUCCUCAUCUGCAGCAUAUUUUUCAACUAGAGCACGAAAGACUGGAUCUUGUAAAAGAGCCUUAUCUGAUGGCAGCUGGAUAAGACCUCCUUUCUCUCCACUUAAAAGUUCCCUG